UUUCCGUAGGUGAACCUGCGGAAGGAUCAUUAAAGAAUCGCCCCGUUUUUUAUAAAUGGGCUCUAUUCCCAAACCGUGUAUACAUACCUUUGUUGCUUUGGCAGGCCGCCUCCGGGCGUCGGCUCCGGCUGAUAGUGCCUGCCAGAGGACCCAAACUCUGUGUUUAGUGAUGUCUGAGUACUAUAUAAUAGUUAAAACUUUCAACAACGGAUCUCUUGGUUCUG
rnacentral:misc_RNA from 1 species